UACAGAGCGAACGCUGGCGGCGUGCUUAACACAUGCAAGUCGAAACGUGAAAUGUAGCAAUACAGAGUAAAGUGGCGUACGGGUGAGUAACACGUGGGUAAUCUACCAAAGUGUCUGGAAUAACCGAUCGAAAGGUUGGCUAAUACUGGAUAGUUCAAGCUUGUUAUAAUGGCAAGAUUGGGAAAGGGAGCUGGCAACAGCCUUCGCAUUUGAUGAGCUCGCGUCUGGUUAGUUAGUUGGUAAGGUAAUGGCUUACCAAGACGAAGAUCAGUAGCUGGUCUGAGAGGAUGAUCAGCCACACUGGAACUGAAACACGGUCCAGACUCCUACGGGAGGCAGCAGUGGGGAAUCUUGCGCAAUGGACGAAAGUCUGACGCAGCCACGCCGCGUGAGUGAAGAAGGCCUUCGGGUUGUAAAGCUCUGUCGGAGGGGACAAAAACGUUUAGGGUUAAUAGCCCUAGAUCUUGAUGGUACCCUUAAAGGAAGCACCGGCUAACUUCGUG
rnacentral:rRNA from 1 species